GCGGCUGACGGGCCCCAAUCGCUGGGCCGCGCACGGGGGCGGGGCUUCGGUUGCCAGGGCGCGGCUUCGCGCGGCGUCACGUCGCGGCCGCAGGCUGAGGCGGGCUGGUCGCUGCCAUCGCCAUCGCCAUCGCCAUGAGUCAAGAUGACAGAUUUGCUUUCACUGCUGAAUGGUAUGAUCCAAAUGCUUCACUCUUUCGACGUUAUGAACUUCUGUAUUAUCCAAAAGAUGGAUCAGUUGAAAUGUAUGAUGUGAAGAACCAUCGCACCUUUCUGAAGCGUACCAAGUAUGAGAGCUUACACCUUGAGGAUUUAUUUGUGGGCAACAAAAUUACUGUUUUUUCCCGUCAUCUGUCCUUAGUGGACUAUGGGGAUCAAUACACAGCCCGCAAGCUGGGGAGCCGCAAAGAAAGAACACUGGCUUUGAUUAAACCUGAUGCAGUGCCCAAGAUUGGAGAAUUAAUUGAUAUCAUUAUUAAUGCAGGAUUUACAAUAACUAAGGCCAAAAUGAUGGUGCUUUCAAGAAAAGAAGCAGUUGAUUUCUACGUAGACCAUCAAUCAAAACCUUAUUAUAAUGAGCUUCUGGAGUUUAUAACGAGUGGUCCCAUUGUUGCUAUGGAAAUCUUAGGAGAUGAUGCAAUUUGUAAAUGGAAAACAUUAUUGGGGCCAGCAAACUCUGCAGUGGCUAAGACUGAUGCACCAGACAGCAUUAGAGCGAACUAUGGACAUGAUGGCCUAAGAAAUGCAGCUCAUGGCCCAGAUUCAGUUGCUUCAGCUGCUCAAGAGCUGGAGUUGUUCUUUCCCUCCAGUGGAGGUCGCGGACCAGUCAACAGUGCAAAAUUCACAAACUGUACUUGUUGCAUUAUUAAGCCUCAUGCAGUUAAUGAAGGGCUAGCUGGAAAGAUUAUAAAUGCCAUCAUCAAUGAGGGAUUUCGGAUCUCAGCAUUGCAGAUGUUCAACAUGGAGCGUACAAAUGUGGAAGAAUUUUUUGAGAUUUACAAAGGUGUUGUCGCUGAAUAUGUGGAGGCUCCAGGGAAACAGAUGAUUUUGGUGUAACUGAGAUUGUGGUAACAGUACAAAGCACAAGAAUGUUGCCAGAUCCAGGACCCUUUCCCUAACAGGAGAUGGUCACAGAGUUGUGUUCAGGCCCUUGCAUAGCAAUGGAGAUUAUACAACCCGAGCCUCCAAAAGUGUUCAGAGACUUCUGUGGUCCUUCUGACCCUGAAAUAGCUCGACAUCUCCGACCUGGAACUCUGCGUGCUGUCUUUGGGAAGAACAAGAUUCAGAAUGCUGUCCACUGCACAGACCUACCUGAAGAUGGACUUUUGGAGGUACAGUACUUCUUCAAGAUUCUGGACAACUAACAGCCUCCAUCCUCACCCAAAACAAAAGACAUGCACACAGAUCUGUGUGUUCAUUCAUUUAUUUGUCCAAUGUUUCAACCUGACUGAAAUACAAGAUCAACAAGAGCACUGUACUCCUGGCUAUUAUUAUUACAUGUUAGAACAUAGAGUUUUGCACUUUAGACAACAUUUAACACCAUUCUAUGGGGUACUGCAUUGCUUUUAUAAAGUUUAAAAUAAAGAUUUUUUUUUCUUUUCAAA